rnacentral:rRNA from 1 species
AACGUAGGUGGCAAGCGUUAUCCGGAUUUACUGGGCGUAAAGCGUGUGCAGGCGGGGGUACAAGUGGUGUAUGAAAUUUCCCAGCUUACUGGGAAGGGUUAUGCCAGACUGUACUUCUGGAGUGCGAGAGAGGGCGUGGAAUUCCGGGUGUAGUGGUGAAAUGCGUAGAGAUCCGGAGGAACCCCGAGAGGCGAAGGCGGCGCCCUGGCUCGAACUGACGCUCAGACACGACAGGCAUGGGAGCGGAACGGG